AUGGCCGGCCAAGGAAAUGAUGAUGUCAAGGUACUGGGCACGGCGGCGAGCAUGUUCGCGAUCCGCGUGCGCAUGGCGCUGCACGUCAAGGGCGUGAGCUACGAGUACCUGGAGCAGGACCUGUUCCACAAGGGCGACCUCCUUCUCACCUCCAACCCGGUGCGCAAGGCCGUCCCCGUGCUCAUCCACGCCGGCAGGCCCGUCUGCGAGUCGCUCGCCAUCGUCGAGUACGUCGACGAGGUCUGGCCGAUGCCUCGCUCCUCCCUGCCGACCCCUACGACCGCGCCGUCGCCCGCUUCUGGGCCGCAUAUGUCGACGACAAGGCUGUCCCCACGUGGAUAG
rnacentral:rRNA from 1 species